rnacentral:misc_RNA from 1 species
GAUGAAGAACGUAGCGAACUGUGAUAAGUAAUGUGAAUUGCAGAAUUCAGUGAAUCAUCGAGUCUUUGAACGCACAUUGCGCCCCCUGGCAUUCCGGGGGGCAUGCCUGUCCGAGCGUCAUUGCUGCCCUUCAAGCCCGGCUUGUGUGUUGGGUCGUCGUCCCCCCCGGGGGACGGGCCCGAAAGGCAGCGGCGGCACCGCGUCCGGUCCUCGAGCGUAUGGGGCUUUGUCACCCGCUCGAUUAGGGCCGGCCGGGCGCCAGCCGGCGUCUCCAACCUUCUAUUUUACCAGGUUGACCUCGGAUCAGGUAGGGAUACCCGCUGAACUUAAGCAUAUCAAUAAGCGGAGGA